rnacentral:rRNA from 1 species
AAACUGAAUGCUUAUUGCACCACAUGUGUUUUUCUUUGAAACAAACUUGCUUUGGCGGUGGGCCCAGCCUGCCGCCAGAGGUCUAAACUUACAACCAAUUUUUUAUCAACUUGUCACACCAGAUUAUUACUUAAUAGUCAAAACUUUCAACAACGGAUCUCUUGGUUCUCGCAUCGAUGAAGAACGCAGCGAAAUGCGAUACGUAAUAUGAAUUGCAGAUAUUCGUGAAUCAUCGAAUCUUUGAACGCACAUUGCGCCCUCUGGUAUUCCGGAGGGCAUGCCUGUUUGAGCGUCGUUUCUCCCUCAAACCGCUGGGUUUGGUGUUGAGCAAUACGACUUGGGUUUGCUUGAAAGACGGUAGUGGUAAGGCGGGAUCGCUUUGACAAUGGCUUAGGUCUAACCAAAAACAUUGCUUGCGGCGGUAACGUCCACCACGUAUAUCUUCAAACUUUGACCUCAAAUCAGGUAGGACUACCCGCUGAACUUAAGCAUAUCAAAAGGCGGAGGAA